rnacentral:lncRNA from 1 species
CUACUGUUAUCUUGGUCAUUUAUUGAUAGAAAAACUGCAUGUUUUAUUUUUAUAAUUUUUAUCAUAUUGUUUAUGUCAGAGUCUUCUGUAAUAACUUUGACAUUUUACAACAAGUAAGCAUGAGUGAUCCUUUACUCCGAGGAUUGAACCUUUGGGCUUUCAUUCUUUUUAUUCUACUUAGAAAUUACUUUCCUUCUCUCUGUUUUACUCGAGGAACAUAUGGAAGUAAGCAAUGAAUUUUUAUAUGAAGAUUUGACACUUGCC